rnacentral:rRNA from 1 species
AUGUGCAUACCUAAGAGUAAAGGAGGAAUGGGAUUUCGAGACAUUCAUUGUUUUAACUUGGCACUUUUGGCAAAGCAAGCAUGACGGCUUAUUGAGAACCCUGAUUCCCUAUGUGCAAAGAUUCUCAAAGCAAAGUAUUACCUUGGUGAUGAUCUUUUGAAUGUUAGUUUUUUUAAGGCAUCAUAUACUUGGCAAAGCCUAAUGGUAGGAGUGGAGACCCUCAAACAUGGUCAUAUAUGGAGGGUGGGCGAUGGACAGAAAAUUAAGAUAUGGGAUGAUAGUUGGAUUCACGGUCACCCACCAGGAAGGUUAUCUCCGGUAGAGGAAGUCAUCUCCUCUCCCGAGUGUUAG